rnacentral:misc_RNA from 1 species
AAGUCGUAACAAGGUUUCCGUAGGUGAACCUGCGGAAGGAUCAUUAACACGUAUCCAACGUUAAACCCCUGUGAACCUUAAUAUCGCCGCUCCUAGGGCUCAGUCGCGAAAACUAGCAAUCCCCUGUACUCGUCCGAGAAAUGUAAGGAGAAGGGGACUUCUGGCAGUGCACCCUAGUUGAGCGCUUGGAGUUAGUGGCUUGUUUUUCCCCAAGCAAUCAGUGAAUGUCAGUGUCAUUGGUUGUGUAAGGAUUUCGCCUAAACAGCGAUCACUGGAGGUCGAUCACCGGCCGGUGAAACAAGCAACAGAAGCUUUAAUGCUUCCCUCACCGCCCCCACUUCCUAUUGCCGCCCGCUGCUAACAACGCCGGGUAUUUAAAAACGUACUAAACAACUGUUAACAAUGGAUAUCUUGGUUCUC